AUAGAGUGAAGCGGAAAAAGCUCAAAUUUAAAAUCUUGAUAGUCUUUUGGCUGUCCGAGUGUAAUCUAAAGAAGUGUUAUCCGUGCUGGACCAUGUACAAGUCUCCUGGAAUGGAGCGUCAUAGAGGGUGAGAAUCCCGUCUUUGACAUGGACUACCAGCGCAUUUGUGAUGCACUUUCAAAGAGUCGAGUUGUUUGGGAAUGCAGCUCUAAAUGGGUGGUAAAUUCCAUCUAAAGCUAAAUAUUGGCAAGAGACCGAUAGUGAACAAGUACCGUGAGGGAAAGAUGAAAAGCACUUUGGAAAGAGAGUUAAACAGUACAUGAAAUUGUUGAAAGGGAAACGCUUGAAGUCAGUCAUGUUGACAUAGGAAUCAACCUUGCUUUAAUUAGCUUGGUGCACUUUCUGGUUGACAGGUCAGCAUCAAUUUUGACUGAUGGAUAAAGACUUGAGGAAUGUGACAUCUAUGGAUGUGUUAUAGCCUUUGGUUGUAUACAUUGGUUGAGAUUGAGGAAUUCAGCAUGCCUUUUACAAGGUCAGGUUUUUAUAAACCAUGUUUCAUGCUUAGGAUGGCUGGCAUAAUGGCUUUAAUCGACCCGUCUUGAAACACGGACCAAGGAGUCUAACAUACCUGCGAGUGUUUGGGUGAAAAACCCAAGUGCGUAAUGAAAGUGAAAGUUGGGAUCCUCUGUAAGAAGAGAAGCACUGAUGCCCGGACCAGACCUUUUGUGAUGGAUCUGAGGUAGAGCAUGUAUGUUGGGACCCGAAAGAGGGUGAACUAUGCCUGAAUGAGGGGUGAAGCCAGAGGAAACUCUGGUGGAGGCUCGUAGCGAUUCUGACGUGCAAAUCGAUCGUCAAAUUUGGUAUAGGG
rnacentral:rRNA from 1 species